CGUCGUUCAAAGCUAAACUCACCGUGUCACUUUCAAGCCUGUUUCUUCUUAAACCCCAAGCCUGUGGGAUUCGGGAUUAGACAGCAGUUGGUUCCAAAUUAGGAAUGUGACCACUUGUGCCAGGGUUCUUAGAAGCACUUCCUCAUCCCUAAGAGUGGUCUUCUUUCUCUGGAUACUGGCGUGUUUGGAUUGUGAUGCCAAGGUUUUUUGCUAUCAUCUGUCUCUUGCCCAAGGAGGAAGCUGUUCUCUGAAGGAUGAGAGAGUAAAGAUUGGAGGAGCCUUGGAUCCUUCAUGACCUUGUUGUGCAACAGCAUCUAUCAACCUUGCCCUCCCUAUGAACUUCCUUGUUAUAUGAUAUAAUAAAUUUCCCAAUUGUUUCAGUAUUAGUCACAGUGUGAAUGGGUUUUAUUAUUAGCAGCUAAAACAUUCUGUUCACCAAGUGCCACUUGGUAACACUGAUUUUCCACAAAUGCUGGUAAAAUGCUCACUUCAACUCAUCCCACAUUCUCCAGCAUAGUUAGAGAAUGCUCUGGAGAAUAUACAUGGGUCCAGAUUUUUUAGAAACUCUCCAGGUACGCAGACCUCAGUCUUGUCAGGGUUAGUCUAUGUCAAAAACUUCUAUUCUCUUCCUUUCAGCCAAGUACUCCAUUGACCUUCAUUGCAGACUCAAGCCAGGUUUGAGAAUGUAAUUCUUUCUUAACUGAAAGCAUAUAAGAGUUACCAGGAGUCAAGAUGCCAUGAGCUAUUUGUCCCUGUAUCUAUUAUUGAGGUGCCCAAAAAGUUUGUUUGGGUUUUUCUGUAAACUGUAACAAACUCGAAUGAACUUUUUGACCAACCCAAUAUUUAAAGUCUGCUUAAGUUCCAGACUCUUUUUGACUAGUCUGCUGAUUGGGUUUCCGACUUCAUGCUGUCUUUCU
ensembl:lncRNA